rnacentral:lncRNA from 1 species
UUUGUUAGUUUAAAGGCAAGGGGUCGUUCCCUUAAUUAUAUCUAUCCGGGAUAUGCCCGAGGGGUUUGUAUAUAUUUUAUCCGGAAUAUGCCCCGAAGUAUUUGUAUUUGAAGGUCGAAGACGGAACGGUUCGAGGAAGCAUAGAAUAGUAUUUUAUUUUUGUUUUAUUAGGUGGGGACUACCUUGAGCCUCUUUUGAUUGUUUAUUUUCUCUUUGUGUGCUUUUACCUCAAUUUGAAUAUCUUAAAAGUCAACUUGAUCGAGUAUGCAACCUUGACGUUCGCGGGACUUGAGGAGUGUUUUACCUUAAUCUCUGGUGCAGACUUAGUUUUAGAGUUCAAAGUAUUUUAAAAGGAAACUUAUUAUUUUUUUAUUUUAUUCUUUUUAGAAAAAGAGGUGACCUGGCACACUGAAAUCAAAUGUCAGGUGGCGACUCUGAGUUUAUUCUCUUUUAAAUACAAUAUUUGUCACUUUUAAAAUUGAAAAC